AGAGUUUGAUCCUGGCUCAGAGUGAACGCUGGCGGCGUGCUUAACACAUGCAAGUCGAGCGAAGUGUCAGCUGUAGCAAUACAGUAUGUGCUUAGCGGCAGACGGGUGAGUAACACGUAGAGAACCUUCCUCAUAGCGGGGGAUAGCUAGCCGAAAGGUUAGGUAAUACCGCGUAAGAUCCCUUGGUGGCAUCACCGAGGGAUGAAACAUCCGCAAGGAUGGCUAUGUGAGGGCUCUGCGGCCUAUCAGCUAGUUGGUGAGGUAACGGCUCACCAAGGCUACGACGGGUAUCCGGCCUGAAAGGGCGAACGGACACACUGACACUGAGACACGGGUCAGACACCUACGGGUGGCAGCAGUGAGGAAUCUUGGACAAUGGGGGCAACCCUGAUCCAGCGACGCCGCGUGAAGGAUGAAGGUCUUCGGAUUGUAAACUUCUUUUGUUUGGGAAUAAAAAAUCUAUGGAAACAUGGAGAUUGAAGGUACCGAACGAAUAAGCCACGGCUAACUUCGUGCCAGCAGCCGCGGUAAUACGAAGGUGGCAAGCGUUACUCGGAAUUACUAGGCGUAAAGGGCAGGUAGGUGGUUCGGUAAGUCUGUUGUGUAAGCUCCUGGCUUAACUGGGAGAGGUCAACGGAAACUACCGGACUUGAGUAUAGGAGAGGUUACUGGAAUUCCCGGUGUAGCGGUGAGAUGCGCAGAGAUCGGGAGGAACACCAAUGGCGAAAGCAGGUAACUGGACUAUUACUGACACUAAGCUGCGAAAGCUAGGGGAGCAAACAGGAUUAGAUACCCUAGUAGUCC
rnacentral:rRNA from 1 species